AUCAGACAAACUAAAUUACCUAAAGAAGACAAAUGAAAAGCCGUCACUAGUAUCCAAUACUUCCUAGAUACACAUAUCAUACAUAAGAAUCAGAAAACAUAGAACUAAUAUAUGUAAUUCUCGAAAAAGAUAAAACUCAAAAAAAACCAAAUAGUUACAAGAAUACAUUGAACCAUUAAUCAAAAAAAAAACAAAUCUAAUCCUUUCCACAACAUAAAUUUCUACAAAUAAACUGCAGGCAGUCAUGGCCACUUGCUCGAAUAUCACAAUAUAUAUAUACAAAAGGAAAAGCAGAGAAAUUUACCUUGACGGAAAUCUUGCGGUCACUCUGGGCCCUCUUAAACUUCUUGACACGCUUUUUAACGAUCUUCUUCGCAAGCAACGGAACCGCCAUUUCUUCGCCAUGAAAAACAACAAAGAUAAUAAGAAAAAUCUGGAUUUUCAAAACAACGGCAGAGGGGGAAAAAUUAAAGAAAUAAUACAGCAAAACCCUACAUCCAUAACAAUAAAAAUUCCAAAACACUGAAGGAAAAAACAUCCAUAAAUCAGAGAGUUUCGAAAAAAAUAUUAACAGGCGUAUGAGAUCAAUUCCAAGCCAUCGUUCGCAAAUUCCAGCUGAAAUGAUAUCGGGAUUCGAAACGCGAAGCAAAAGAGACGAAGAAAGAAGAAGAGAAUACCUUCAGAUCGAGGCGGGAACCCUGACCCAAGAAAAGAGAGAGACGAUACGAGAGGGUUGCAGCGUCGGCGGCGACUCCUAACGGAAUAUAAUGGGCGGCGGAAAAGUUAGGGUUUUCGGUGCGUGCGCGGGGGAGUGGCGGGGCGCGCUGCAAUUAGGAUUGGGCUCGACCCGAUUCCGAACUGCCUAAUCCGCUUGCUGGAUCGGGUUGGACGAAGGUUACAUGAACU
rnacentral:lncRNA from 1 species